GCAAGUCGACGCUUUGUCUUUAACUGAUAUAGACGAGCUUGCUCUGAUUUGAUUUUAUCUGACAAAGAGUGGCGAACGGGUGAGUAACACGUGGGUAACCUACCUCUUAGCAGGGGAUAACAUUUGGAAACAAGUGCUAAUACCGUAUAAUACCAACAACCGCAUGGUUGUUGGUUGAAAGAUGGUUCUGCUAUCACUAAGAGAUGGACCCGCGGUGCAUUAGCUAGUUGGUAAGGUAACGGCUUACCAAGGCAAUGAUGCAUAGCCGAGUUGAGAGACUGAUCGGCCACAAUGGGACUGAGACACGGCCCAUACUCCUACGGGAGGCAGCAGUAGGGAAUCUUCCACAAUGGGCGCAAGCCUGAUGGAGCAACGCCGCGUGUGUGAUGAAGGGUUUCGGCUCGUAAAACACUGUUAUAAGAGAAGAACGGCACUGAGAGUAACUGUUCAGUGUGUGACGGUAUCUUACCAG
rnacentral:rRNA from 1 species